UACGAAGGGUGCAAACGUUGCUCGGAAUUAUUGGGCGUAAAGCGCACGUAGGCGGGCUGCCGCGUCCGGGGUGAAAUCCUCCGGCUCAACCGGAGAACGGCCCCGGGUACGGGCGGCCUCGAGGGGGGUAGGGGCGGGCGGAACUGUGGGUGGAGCGGUGAAAUGCGUUGAUAUCCACAGGAACUCCGGUGGCGAAGGCGGCCCGCUGGACCCCAUCUGACGCUGAGGCGCGAAGGCGUGGGGAGCGAACGGG
rnacentral:rRNA from 1 species